rnacentral:ribozyme from 1 species
UUUUUUUUUUUUUUUUUUUUUUUUUUUUUUUUUUCU